rnacentral:rRNA from 1 species
GACGAACGCUGGCGGCGUGCCUAAUACAUGCAAGUAGAACGCUGAAGAGAGGAGCUUACUCUUCUUGGAUGAGUUGCGAACGGGUGAGUAACGCGUAGGUAACCUGCCUUGUAGCGGGGGAUAACUAUUGGAAACGAUAGCUAAUACCGCAUAACAAUGGAUGACACAUGUCAUUUAUUUGAAAGGGGCAAUUGCUCCACUACAAGAUGGACCUGCGUUGUAUUAGCUAGUAGGUGAGGUAAUGGCUCACCUAGGCGACGAUACAUAGCCGACCUGAGAGGGUGAUCGGCCACACUGGGACUGGGACACGGCCCAGACUCCUGCGGGAGGCAGCAGUAGGGAAUCUUCGGCAAUGGGGGCAACCCUGACCGAGCAACGCCGCGUGAGUGAAGAAGGUUUUCGGAUCGUAAAGCUCUGUUGUAAGUCAAGAACGGGUGUGAGAGUGGAAAGUUCACACUGUGACGGUAGCUUACCAGAAAGGGACGGCUAACUACGUG